UCAACUGAUUUGAAGAGCUUGCUCAGAUAUGMCKWUGGACAUUGCAAAGAGUGGCGAACGGGUGAGUAACACGUGGGAAACCUACCUCUUAGCAGGGGAUAACAUUUGGAAACAGAUGCUAAUACCGUAUAACAAUGACAACCGCAUGGUUGUUAUUUAAAAGAUGGUUCUGCUAUCACUAAGAGAUGGUCCCGCGGUGCAUUAGCUAGUUGGUAAGGUAAUGGCUUACCAAGGCGAUGAUGCAUAGCCGAGUUGAGAGACUGAUCGGCCACAAUGGGACUGAGACACGGCCCAUACUCCUACGGGAGGCAGCAGUAGGGAAUCUUCCACAAUGGGCGAAAGCCUGAUGGAGCAACGCCGCGUGUGUGAUGAAGGGUUUCGGCUCGUAAAACACUGUUGUAAGAGAAGAAUGACAUUGAGAGUAACUGUUCAAUGUGUGACGGUAUCUUACCAGAAAGGAACGGCUAAAUACGUGCCAGCAGCCGCGGUAAUACGUAUGUUCCAAGCGUUAUCCGGAUUUAUUGGGCGUAAAGCGAGCGCAGACGGUUAUUUAAGUCUGAAGUGAAAGCCCUCAGCUCAACUGAGGAAUUGCUUUGGAAACUGGAUGACUUGAGUGCAGUAGAGGAAAGUGGAACUCCAUGUGUAGCGGUGAAAUGCGUAGAUAUAUGGGAAGAACACCAGUGGCGAAGGCGGGCUUUCUGGACUGUAACUGACGUUGAGGCUCGAAAGUGUGGGUAGCAAACAGGGAUUAGAUACCCUGGUAGUCACACCGUAAACGAUGAGUGCUAKGUGUUUGAGGGUUUCCKCCCUUAAGUGCCGCAGCUAACGCAUUAAAGCACUCCGCCUGGGGAGUACGACCGCCAAGGUUGAAACUCAAAGGRAAUUGACGGGGGACCCGCACAAGCGGUGGGAGCAUGUGGGUUUAAUUCGAARSMAACGCGAAGAACCCUUACCAGGUCUUGACAUCCCCUUGAMAAMCUCCAGAGAUGGAGGCGGUCYCCYUUCCGGGAACAA
rnacentral:rRNA from 1 species